rnacentral:rRNA from 1 species
UACAGAGGUCUCAAGCGUUGUUCGGAUUCAUUGGGCGUAAAGGGUGUGUAGGUGGCGCGCUAAGUCGGGUGUGAAAUUUCGGAGCUUAACUCCGAAACUGCAUUCGAUACUGGCGUGCUUGAGGACUGGAGAGGAGACUGGAAUUCAUGGUGUAGCAGUGAAAUGCGUAGAUAUCAGGAGGAAUACCGGUGGCGAAAGCGACUCUCUGGACGGUAACUGACGCUGAGGCGCGAAAGCCAGGGGAGCGAACGGG